rnacentral:rRNA from 14 species
GGCGAGCGAACGCGGACCAGGCCAGUGCCUGAAUUUCAACUAGUAGAAGUCUCUGGAAAGUGACGCCAUAGCGGGUGACAGCCCCGUAUGCGAAAGCGAAACAAGAGGACUUGAGUAGGGCGGAGCACGUGAAACUCUGUCUGAACAUGGGGGGACCACCCUCCAAGCCUAAGUACUCCUCAGCGACCGAUAGCGAACCAGUACCGUGAGGGAAAGGU